UACGGAGGGUGCAAGCGUUAUCCGGAUUCACUGGGUUUAAAGGGAGCGUAGGUGGGUUGGUAAGUCAGUGGUGAAAUCCCCGAGCUUAACUUGGGAACUGCCAUUGAUACUAUCAGUCUUGAAUAUUGUGGAGGUCAGCGGAAUAUGUCAUGUAGCGGUGAAAUGCUUAGAUAUGACAUAGAACACCAAUUGCGAAGGCAGCUGGCUACACAUAUAUUGACACUGAGGCUCGAAAGCGUGGGGAGCAAACAGG
rnacentral:rRNA from 1 species